rnacentral:rRNA from 1 species
AGGGUUUGAUCAUGGCUCAGGAUGAACGCUAGCGGCAGGCCUAAUACAUGCAAGUCGAACGGUAACAUUGGUGCUUGCACCAGAUGACGAGUGGCGCACGGGUGCGUAACGCGUAUGCAACCUACCUUUUACUAGAGUAUAGCCCAGAGAAAUUUGGAUUAAUCCUCUAUAACAUCUUUAAGUUUCAUAAUUUUUAGAUUAAAGUUUUAAUGGUAAAAGAUGGGCAUGCGUCCUAUUAGUUUGUAGGUGAGGUAACGGCUCACCUAGACUACGAUAGGUAGGGGCCCUGAGAGGGGGAUCCCCCACACUGGUACUGAGACACGGACCAGACUCCUACGGGAGGCAGCAGUAAGGAAUAUUGGACAAUGGACGAAAGUCUGAUCCAGCCAUGCCGCGUGCAGGAUGAAAGCCCUAUGGGUUGUAAACUGCUUUUAUACAGGAAGAAACACUCCGACGUGUCGGAGCUUGACGGUACUGUAAGAAUAAGGAUCGGCUAACUCCGUGCCAGCAGCCGCGGUAAUACGGAGGAUCCAAGCGUUAUCCGGAAUCAUUGGGUUUAAAGGGUCCGCAGGCGGUCUUUUAAGUCAGAGGUGAAAGCCUACAGCUCAACUGUAGAACGGCCUUUGAUACUGAAAGACUUGAGUUAUUGUGAAGUGAUUAGAAUGUGUGGUGUAGCGGUGAAAUGCAUAGAUAUCACACAGAAUA